CCUACGGGAGGCAGCAGUGGGGAAUUUUGGACAAUGGGCGCAAGCCUGAUCCAGCCAUGCCGCGUGCAGGAUGAAGGCCUUCGGGUUGUAAACUGCUUUUGUACGGAACGAAAAGACUCUGGUUAAUACCUGGGGUCCAUGACGGUACCGUAAGAAUAAGCACCGGCUAACUACGUGCCAGCAGCCGCGGUAAUACGUAGGGUGCGAGCGUUAAUCGGAAUUACUGGGCGUAAAGCGUGCGCAGGCGGUUAUAUAAGACAGAUGUGAAAUCCCCGGGCUCAACCUGGGAACUGCAUUUGUGACUGUAUAGCUAGAGUACGGCAGAGGGGGAUGGAAUUCCGCGUGUAGCAGUGAAAUGCGUAGAUAUGCGGAGGAACACCGAUGGCGAAGGCAAUCCCCUGGGCCUGUACUGACGCUCAUGCACGAAAGCGUGGGGAGCAAACAGGAUUAGGUACCCUGGUAGUCCACGCCCUAAACGAUGUCAACUGGUUGUUGGGUCUUCACUGACUCAGUAACGAAGCUAACGCGUGAAGUUGACCGCCUGGGGAGUACGGCCGCAAGGUUGAAACUCAAAUGAAUUGACCGGNNGAGAGNGCGACGACGACGACGAGGGAGGAGG
rnacentral:rRNA from 1 species